rnacentral:misc_RNA from 1 species
UUGUUUUGGUGAACAAUGGCGGCCAAGCGGCUCUCCUAGGAUCGAUCUUGGCGUUUUAAAACCCGGUUAUUUUCCUUUUUUGAAGUCCUUAGAUAUAUAAUACAUCAUGCCUCGGCUGGGCCUUGGCUAUGACAUGGACCAGUUCCUGGACCACUGUCGUAUGACAAAACCUCCGUAUGAAUGCCCGCAUGCAUCAUGUGGCAAGAUUUACCGCAGUCUAGCAGGCAUUCAGCACCACAUGAACACAUAUGACCAUGAGAAUCCUCCUCCAAAUGUGGUCACUCCAAAAUCAGCCCGGAAGAAAAACAUGAAGCGACCCCCAUCCCCUGUAGCAAGCCAGGAUCCAGAGCCACCUUCAAUACCAUACUCGCAUGACAUGAAAACUGUGGAGUUUGAGGUUGAUGGAAAAUUGACACGGUUAUCUGUCUAUGACCCAAUAGAAAUUUUAUCAAAGCACGAUUUUCCAUUUUGUGAUCAGGAGGAUUACGAAGCUUCAAUGCCUCCGGUUGUAGAGGAGCCCCCACCUCAGGAGCAAGCACGCACACCAACUAUCAAGCCAUUGCCCAAGACACCAACAUCCAAAACCUCCCUAUCAAAAACUCCGGUGCAGAAAACUCCUCUCCAGAAACCACCAAAAGCUCGUACAGGUGAUAAAGAUAGAGGGGUAGAUGUCCAACGUUACACAAUAGAAGAGAAAAAAAGCAACAAACUCCCAGAAGCGUCAUUUUCAGUCAUAGAGGAUUAUUACAAGAAUCUUCCUGAUGCUCCUCCACAACCAUCCAACUAUCAUAGGUUCAUAGAGAAAAGUCUUGAAGAAUUAGAUGAAGAAGUGGAGUAUGACAUGGAUGAGGAAGACAGAGCAUGGCUGCAGAAAAUGAAUGAGAAGCGAGCUGUGGAUGAACUCCCACCUGUAGAAAUGGAGACCUUUGAAUUACUCAUGGAUCGUUUAGAAAAGGAAUCUUUCUUUCAGGCUCAGUCAACUGGCAGAGAUUCUGGUGUGCCAAUAGAUGAGGAUGCUGUAUGCUGUAUUUGUAUGGAUGGAGAGUGUCAGAACAGUAAUGUUAUCCUAUUCUGUGAUAUGUGCAACUUAGCAGUGCAUCAGGAGUGCUAUGGAGUUCCUUACAUCCCAGAGGGGCAGUGGCUAUGCAGGCGGUGCUUACAAUCUCCAUCACGGGCUGUUGACUGUGCUCUUUGUCCUAACAAGGGUGGAGCAUUUAAACAGACAGAUGAUGCUCGCUGGGCUCAUGUUGUUUGUGCCAUGUGGAUUCCUGAAGUUUGUUUUGCAAAUACUGUUUUCCUUGAGCCAAUAGACAGUAUUGGUAAUAUACCUCCUGCUCGCUGGAAACUCACAUGCUACAUAUGCAAGCAGAGAGGAGUGGGUGCUUGUAUCCAGUGUAAUAAAGUAAACUGCUAUACAGCUUUCCAUGUGACCUGUGCUCAACAAGCAGGACUGCAUAUGAAGAUUGAUGCAGUAAGAGAGACAAGUGUGAAUGGCACAUCAGUUACAGUGCGAAAAGCAGCUUACUGUGAUAUGCACACCCCAGCUGACUCAGAUGCGCGUCCUCAGCUCGAUGAGAUUAUGGACUCGGCUAAGAAAGCAGCGGCAAAAGCGGCAUCACGACAGAAAAUGAAGAAAGCUCGUAAGAUUUUGGCUGAGAAACGGUCUGCUGCUCCAAUUGUUUCAGUUCCCACAAUUCCAGCUGACCGUCCCAUACUCCCUACCUAUUGUGGUGUUGUCAACUCUGUGCCCAUCCUACCCAGUGAAAAUAUUCAGAAAUUGGCAUCCCUGGUCAGUAUGCCUAAAAGGUCACAGUUCAUGCACCGCCUCUUAGCCUUCUGGACCUUGAAGCGGCAAUCGAGAAAUGGCGUCCCGCUGCUGAGACGGCUUACAACCUCACAUUCCCGCCGUAGCAAUCGGUCACCUGAGGAGAAGAACACAGACUAUAAGGAUAAGGAGAAAAUACUCAGUGAGGCAGAGAGACGCAGAGAAGAAAUUAAGUAUUGGCAGAGGUUACGUCAGGAUCUUGAAAAAGCAAGGCUGCUCUGUGAACUAAUUAGAAAGAGGGAAAAAACCAAGAGAGAGCUAGUCAAGGCAAAAGCUGAGGAGAAGCAGGUGCAGUUAGCUCCUCUAGUGCAUCUACUACUGCAGACCAUUGAUAUAAUUCAAGAGAAGGAUCAACAAAUGAUAUUUGCUGAACCAGUUGACUUUGAUGAGGUUCUUGACUAUCUUGAUGUGGUAAAACAUCCCAUGGAUCUUUCCACCAUGAGACAGAAGGCUGAGACACAUCAAUACCGCACAAUUGAUCAGUUUGCAAGUGACUUUGAGCUGAUGAUUGACAACUGUCUCACCUAUAAUGCAAAAGAAACCAUUUUCUAUAGAACAGCUGUUAAGUUGCGGGACCAGGGUGGUGCUAUCAUUCGUCAACUCCGAAGAAAUGUUGAGAACAUUGGAUUUGAUAUGGAAACUGGGUUGCUACUACCACACCGACCCAAACCUUUGCCAGAGUACUCAGAUAAUAAGAUUAUCAAGGAAGUUGAUGAUGCCCUGGUUGCUGAUGGUGAUGAUUCAGCAAGUCUAGAAGAUCGAGAGAAAGCACUGCUUGAGCUCCUAGAUAAAGCAAACAUGAUUCGACAUCAUGUAGCGCGCAUUAAGCGUGUAAAACUCAUCAGACGAGAGAUUGGGAUAGUGCGCAGGAAACUGGCAAUGAAUCAUUCUGGAAAUAGUCAUUACAAGGCCAGUGUAACAUACUAUGACAGUGAUGACGACAGUGAUAAGGAUGAUUCCGAUAUAGAUAAUAGCUCAGUCAUUGAUGACGAGGCCGAACCUGGUGAGCCAAGCAGGCCAAGCACACCACCUCCGCUGGCAGCAAAAAUGGUUAAUGUCCACCUGUCCCACACCCCUAAGACACCAUUGAGCAAUCGAAAGGUACCUCUGUCAUCAUCACCUAUGACCACUCCUGUGCAGCGAGGUCGUCAACGCAAGACAGGGUUCAGAGGCACACCAAAGGAUGACACCAAACAGAAGCGCAUUGACUCCUUCUUCGAGCGAAUCAAUAAGAACUCUCAGAGAGAAUCAGAUCAUCCUGACCAUGCAGCCACACUUGCAGAUGAAAGUAAAGCAACAAAACCAGAGAAAGAAGAUUCUGCUCAGGAGACUCCCAAGAAGCGAGGUCCAGGGCGCCCUCCUAAGCGUCUUAGAACUCUGUCAGGUCCAUCUGCAAGUCCCCCAGCCAAAAAGCAAGUAGAGAGUGACUCAGCAGAGCCUGUGACACCAACCAAAGAAAGCAGUGAAGAUGGGCCAGAGGAAGAACCCCCCUCUGUACCUAGCUCUCCAUCUGGGGUGAAUCGCCGCACAUCAGUACUCUUUACGAAAAAAGCUGGAGCACUCUUUAAGAAGCCAGACAGCUCAUCUCCCCAGAAGCGCAUAUCACGCCAGCGUCGAGCAUCAGAGAGCACACAGGGCACCAAUAGCGAUGUUGAUAUUCAGUCACCAGAAAAGACACCAAAGUCAGCAAACAAGAAAAAGGGACAUCUAAUGAGAUACCCCCAGAGACUGAUGAGGAUACACACUCUGAAUCCAACUCCAGCCUGACGGAUACAGAGGAUGACACUGCUUCAGACUCGGAUUCGGAAGGUGUUGGUAGUGAGUCUGACUCUAGUGUGGCAGUUGAUUCACCUGGCUCAGGUCACACUGGAGAUCAGAUUCCUCUAGAACCUCUUGACCUUGUUUGGGCUAAGUGUCGGGGUUACCCUUGGUAUCCUGCUUUGAUUAUCAAUCCCAAGAUGCCUAAAACAGGAUACUUCCACAAUGGUGUUCCAAUUCCAGUACCUCCAGAUGAUGUUUUAGCAUUGGCUAAUAAUUACCCUUCACCAAUGUACUUAGUGUUGUUCUUUGAUAAUAAACGCACUU